CCUGUACACAAUAAACAAACAGUUUUUCUCGAUCGCAAAGAAGCGCGUUAGAAAAAAACAAGUAAUCACUCUGUCAAACGCUGAUGCUCGACUGCAAUAUUUUAAAUGCCUCUCAAAUUGUUUAUAUAAAUUUAAAAUAGAUCUUUAAUUAUUGCAUCAGCGCGCGGUUCAUUGGCUGGACGUUCGCGUGGCGAUUUUUCUGGACACGGUGAUGGGAUGUCCGUUUCCACGACUGAGGCGUGCCGCCCAACAAGAGGAGGACAGCGACUCGGAUGUAAAUCCGGGCGACAUGGUAGUCUGGUUGAACGGUAAAAAAAUCGUUUUGAGGAAUGCUAAGGUGAAUCUGACAGAGAAACUAAUACAAAUGUUGCCAACUAUAACCGUAACCGAUGUAGAGAAUCAGAGUCGAGUAUUGUACGAACCUGAAGUGAUUUUUCCCGCCCCAUACAAACAACCCACCGACGAUGAAGAGUUCUAUGAACACACAAAAAGAAACAAGUACUAAAUGUUACUGGAGCAUUUUUUACCGCUUUUUUACAAUGUUAUAAAACUGUUUUAUAUGUACAUACCUAUGUAGUUUUGUAUAAACUGAAAUAUACAAUUUUUCAACGG